rnacentral:rRNA from 1 species
UACGUAGGGGGCAAGCGUUGUCCGGAAUCAUUGGGCGUAAAGAGCGCGUAGGCGGCCCUGUAAGUCCGCUGUGAAAGUCAAGGGCUCAACCCUUGAAUGCCGGUGGAUACUGCAGGGCUAGAGUCCGGAAGAGGCGAGUGGAAUUCCUGGUGUAGCGGUGAAAUGCGCAGAUAUCAGGAGGAACACCGGUGGCGAAGGCGGCCACCCUGGACGGUAACUGACGCUGAGACACGAAAGCGUGGGGAGCAAACAGG